ACAGUUAAGUGUCUUUUCUUUCCUUCUGUUACUGUGGAAUUUACAGUGGUCCAGAAGAGUAAGACGGUCUUUAUUUAGGAGGAAUGUCAGAUUUGGUAUUGCAACACCAGUCUUCAAAUCUUUAUACUACAAUCUAUACUUGCAAUAGAAGCCUAGGAAAAAGAUAGCUUUUUUCAACGGUUUAGCUGACUUUUAUAUAUGUUUUAAAAGAAAAAUAAAAAAUAUUAACCACUUAAAGCUCUUGAUACACACACAUCUAGAUCCCCAUCGUUAUGAUUGCUAUUCUGCAAGGUUAUCACAUUCCUGCUGCAUUUUUGUUUCUAGAGAGGCCAAGUCUCCCCUGACUCAGGUUUGUAGUUACAUGGCAAAGAAUUAUUGUAUUAUGGGUCUUUAUAGUACAACAAAGUUCCCCUCUUGUGCUUCAUAUCAUAAUUCUCUUACACUACAUAGAGCUCUCAGUGCCUUACCUACUUCAAUUACAAUGUCAGAAUGCAAUUUUAUUUGGUCUUGUGAUUAUAUUAAUGUCAUUUAAAUUAGCAUCUGCUUGCGGUUACCCCAGAUUGAAAUCACUGAGUGACAGUAGUAUUUUUGCUUUCUUUUUAUAGGAAACAAGAAUGACUGGCAGGAAUGUUUCACUAUGACAAGCUUUACUGUUUUUCCAUGUUUCAAACUUCAUACCCAUGAUACAAUGGGCAAGAUAAGGCAAAACUGAUUUAAAUUCAUGCAUGCUAAAAAUACACAGUUCUCUGUCCAAAGAGCCUUAUUCCAAGUGAUACAGCAUGAAUAAGAUCCCAUACAAGAAGCAUUGGAAUAGCUAAUGCAACAUGGUUCUAUGGAGGAAUUUCCAUGGAUUUUUUUUCCUCACCCACCUCUUCUAUAUCUUCUGUGAAAAUCACAAUCCUAGAUUCUGGGCAGUACAAUUCAAUGAAAAUUCAGAAUAUUGCACAAAUCAGCUCUCUAUCACAUAGCCUGAUCCUAGCAAUAAAGCCAACUAACUACUCCCAGGUACAGUAUUUAAGGAAGAGAGCUGCACAUUUACUGUCCACUGGAACAACACUGGUAAUUAGCUGAAUCACAGUGAAACACCAUGAAAACCCACCCACUUCAUCAUCUAAUUUUACCAGGCUACAGGGAAGCCAACUCGGUCAAUAGUGAUGCACAUGAGUUAGAAGGUGUGUAAUUAAUUUUUUGUUCAUGGCUAUAAAUCUUCUGGUUGAGAAUAAUUGACUCUUGUCAGUGGGACGAAUGACAGAUAUGCUUGUGACCAAAAUUGUAAGUUAAAGAUGCAAAAUCUCCACCAGCAACUCAAACAUGUUUUCAAACUUGUCCAAUCUUAUGCAUUUUCAAAACCAUUCAAUAUAAUUUUGUAAUCAAUGGUAUUUGUCCAACUUCUGCUAUGGACAAAGCCAUGCUAAAAAGUAUUUCUUCUCCACUUCAUCUUCCCAGGCCAUCACCCAUCAUUUCUAUUGCUCUCCUGAGCUCCCUUACACUGUCUUCACCAAUAUAAAACAAAUGGAAAUAAGCCACAUCAAAAUCUAUACUUAGUCCACUGAAGUAAUAAAUAGUCUUUACAUUCUUCUGGAUGUUUUUUCAUUAUCCCUACUGUUGGGGAAAAUCUUUGUCAUACAAAUUUAUGAGCACAAUUGGUAUAAUAAUUCUGUUUUGUGGUUUAUCUCUGCAGAAACACUAUUAGGAGCUGUUCUCAUCAUCUGAGUGCAAUAAAACAGUUAUGCUUUUAACACAUCUUAUUUGCCUAUGAAUAGCAUUUAGCAAGAUAUCCACAGGCUCCUUUUUAUCAGCAUAUUAGCAUUUAAUGUGUGUUUGGACUCGGGGCCUGUGUGUUUGUUUUAAAGCAAGAUUAUGACAUUAAGAUUUGUGAAGAACUCUCCUUUGGAGUCAGUAGGGAGUAGUUAAAACAUAAGUUUGUUUCAAUCACAGCCUUACCUGAGUUUCCUUUUUUCUGCAAGACAUUCACUGAAAGACCUAAAACAGGGGGUGCUUGCUCCCACACUUGCUCCAAAAAAAGUAAUUUCUAAAGCUCAAAGGGAAAUAUCUCCAUGUGCAAGCAUCACGAAUAGUAUCCUAAAAGUGUUCUUUUAUUUCAGUCAAGGUGAAACAGGAGCAAAGACCUGCUGUUUACAGCUUAAAACUAGGUUAACUUAAAACUGGGCUCCUCAGCCUGGAGGAAGGAGGUGAAGAGUCCAAGCUGGCAGAUCUAGGUUAGCAGUCUUCUGCAGGGGGCUGCCUGUUAAAACAGGAGCAACACCACUGCUGGCAGUGCAUGUGCUCACAGGGGAAGUAGAUUUAGCCUACAAAAUACGUGUGCAGCAGGUAAUACUAGGAUAAAUAUAUGCAGUAGUACCCAGUUCUACAGGGACACCAGCAGCCAACGUAUUCUCAAGAUAGAAAAGCAUUUACAUGCUGAGAUUUACUACCAGUAUUAAGCAUUUCCAAGAAAUGCAAGCAGACUUGAGGCACACAGCUUAGCUCCAUUUCAGAGCAAGGCAGUGUAGCUGGGAAACUGCUGCUGGUUCAGUCUAAAUCGACUUACAUUAAAGCAUUUUUGUAAAUUCCUUUUUCAUGGGCAAUCACAGCUGCUACCAAUUGAUUGUGCAGAGUACACAUAGACAUGAAGCUAAUUUUUGCUGAAAACAGCCCUUGGACAAUACUAUAGAAAAUGUGGAAUGGAUAUUAGUAAAUAGUAUAAACUUUGGGAAGGUUGACUAAGUUAGGCCUAAGCAGUCUCAUAACAGAACUUCUG
ensembl:lncRNA